AAGAACCCCCUUUGACGUCUUGAAACACGGACCAAGGAGUGUAACAUGUCCGCGAGUCACUGGGUUGCAACACCCAAGGGCGUAAUGAAAGUGAAGUCCAGUUCGGCUGGCUGACAUGGGACCCUUUGGCUCGCCAGAGGUGCACCAUGGUCCCGUUCAUACUGCAUUGUCAGUAGAGCGGAGAUUGAGCGUACACGUUGGGACCCGAAAGAUGGUGAACUAUGCCUGACCAGGAUGAAGCCAGAGGAAACUCUGGUGGAGGUCCAUAGCGAUUCUGACGUGCAAAUCGAUCGUCGGACUUGGGUAUAGGGGCGAAAGACUAAUCGAACCAUCUAGUACUGGU
rnacentral:rRNA from 1 species